UACGUAGGGGGGCAAGCGUUGUCCGGAAUCAUUGGGCGUAAAGCGCGUGUAGGCGGCUCGGUAAGUCUGCUGUGAAAAGUCCAGGGCUCAACCCUGGGAUGCCGGUGGAUACUGUCGAGCUCGAGUCCGGAAGAGGCGAGUGGAAUUCCUGGUGUAGCGGUGAAAUGCGCAGAUAUCAGGAGGAACACCAAUGGCGAAGGCAGCUCGCUGGGACGUGACUGACGCUGAGACGCGAAAGCGUGGGGAGCAAACAGG
rnacentral:rRNA from 1 species